rnacentral:pre_miRNA from 1 species
UUAACUCAAAUUUGUAUAGAGUUUGGAACGUUUGCCUACGUUUAUCUACGUUUGCCCCUAGGGGCGCUGUUCCAACUGCCUACAAAUUUGACUUA